rnacentral:misc_RNA from 1 species
GAUGAAGAACGCAGCGAAAUGCGAUAAGUAGUGUGAAUUGCAGAAUUCAGUGAAUCAUCGAAUCUUUGAACGCACAUUGCGCCCUUUGGUAUUCCUUAGGGCAUGCCUGUUCGAGCGUCAUUUAAACCUUCAAGCUAAGCUUGGUGUUGGGUGACUGUCCGCUUCACGGCGGACUCGCCCCAAAAUUAUUGGCGGCCGGUACAUUGGCUUCGAGCGCAGCAGAAACGCGAACUCGGGCCCGUCGUAUUGGCUCCCAGAAGCUAUCUUCACAAUUUUGACCUCGGAUCAGGUAGGGAUACCCGCUGAACUUAAGCAUCUCAAUAAGCGGAGGA